GGGGAUGCAAGGAAUCGACGAGGAAUUCGCACUUUUAAAAAUCGUUAGGGCGUAUCUAUACGCAAAUAGAAAAAAUCAACUGUCAACUCAGAAGUCGAAGAGACUCUAACAGAUCUGAGAAAAUUCGUGCUUGAAAAAGCAGGCUUCGUGCCUUCUUAUCAAGCUGCACCAGCUAUGCUUUUUGCAUAAUUGGUGGUCGAAGUUUCAAGGACUCUUGUUGCGUUUUCUCCAGUUCAACGCAAUAAAGGGUGAAACCAACUGGGGUAGGACGAUUUGAGUUAACCAGUUACUCAGAAAGUCGACAAUAUAAUUGGCAUUUCGGGAACGGUUUGUUUAUUUCCCCGACCGGAAUAGAGUAAAAAUAUUCUAUCCCUAACUAAACAUUUUUAAAGGUGUUUCCACGGACCCGGGUUCAACUCCCGGCAUCUCCACAC
rnacentral:tmRNA from 1 species